AAAGCACUAGUAGAUGAUGUGUGCAGGACAAGUACAUUGCCUUUGUGUACUUAUCCAUAAAUUAGUCUGCGUUGCUGGGUUGUUCAACAGCAUCAUAAUAUAUUCAUAUAUGUAAUGAUUGUCUCGGAGGGCUAACUCUCGCGUCCCGUGUUAUUACACAGCAAUAUUUGGGGUGGCGCGCCUGUCGCCCGUGUGUUUUGCUGGUCGGAGGCUUCUGCAAAGAGAUGGCAAGAGAACCGUAGCAGUCAGUGGGGCCUGCACGGUUGGGCAUUUUACUGACAACCGUAACGUUAGACAACCGCAGAGACACUGAAGGUAGACAGGAGCGGAGCGACGGACAAGAGGAAUCAUGGGACACGGAGUGGGCUGAACCAGAGGGUCUAGCAGCACACACCAAUUGUUCCCACUGUGGUGUAUGACAUGGCCACGGCCUCAUCUAGAGCAGAGUCUAGCCAUAACCACAGAGGAACAUCACAGCUCCAUGCCAUUGUUUCCUGUGCCAAAAUCAAGAGGAAGAAGAGCCUGUUUGGGACUUCCAUUUAUGUGGAGGUGACAGCGGAGGGGGAGUCGCGGCGCACAGCAAAGUCUCACAGCUCCUCCAGUCCUAAAUGGGAUGAGAGGCUUACUCUGAAUGUAACACCGCACACAAAGGUGGACUUCAAAGUAUGGAGUCACAACACCCUGAAGGCAGAUGCUCUGCUGGGCAAAGCCACGUUAGACUUGAUUCAAGCCUUGGAGCAGCAUGACAGAAAAUUGGAGAAUGUGAAGGAGGUGCUGAAACUGAGUGUCGAGCAGAAAGGAGCUCUGGUUCCCAUAGGGGAGCUGACUGUCUACCUAGAUGGCCUGUCUGUGACUGACCAGGAGGAUCUGGCACCGCUUACCAACGGCAAUGCAGCAAAUGGCACCAAAGUCCAACAGAAUGGUGAUACCAUCCAUGAAAAUGGAGACACAUCUUCCUCUUCCUCAAGGGCUGCCAACAGCUCAGUGAAUGGUACAGAUUUUGGCCCAAGGUCAGGUUUCUGUUCGGCCUCCAACGGUCUGGAUGGUCAGGUGCCUUCUAGCUCCUGCAGCCCCACCCUCAGUCAUGUAGUCAAUGGCGACGCUACACCCAACUCUACCCCAGUCCACCAAGCCUCAGAUAGCGACACAGAGAGUAGGACGGUCAAUGGGGAGUCCUGUGAUGCUGCUCUGGGUCCAUCAUCUGCUGCAAUAGGUGAUGUACCGCCCCCUGCAGACAACCAUGAGGACAGCAAUCAAGAUGCCACCGUGCCAGAAUCUGACACAGCACCAAAUAGCACAGCUCAACCCCUGCCAACCUCCACGCAGGCUCCGGCCUCCUCUUCUGCUGCUAAGCCUACUGAUGGCGCCGCUGCUGCUACUUCCUCCACAUUCACCUCCCCAACCCAGGGGGCCACCACCAACACCAACACCAACACCAGUACCACCACCACCACCACAACAACCUCUUCAUCAUCAACCUCUUCCUCCCCAGCACAAGGGGAAACAAAUGCUUCAGGAGGUGGUGGUGGUGGUAGCAGUAGUAGCAGUGCAACUGUAACUACCGAUGGGGCCAAGCCCAGGCAGCAGGUCCCCAAUGCUGGAGCCUCGGAUCCUCUCCCACCAGGAUGGGAGCAGAGAAAAGACCCACAUGGGAGGACGUACUAUGUAGACCACAACACCAGGACUACUACCUGGGAAAGACCACAGCCACUACCACCAGGUUGGGAGCGCCGAGUGGAUGACCGGGGCAGGAUCUACUAUGUGGACCACAACACCCGCACCACCACGUGGCAGCGUCCCACUAUGGAAUCAGUCCGCAAUUUUGAGCAGUGGCAGAGCCAACGCAGCCAGCUGCAGGGAGCUAUGCACCAGUUUAACCAGAGAUACCUCUACUCUGCAUCCAUGAUGUCUGCUGAGAAUGAUCCUCUUGGCCCGCUACCCCCUGGUUGGGAGAGGCGUGUGGACUCCAAUGACCGAGUGUACUUUGUCAACCAUAACACCAAGACGACGCAGUGGGAGGACCCCCGAACCCAAGGGCUACAGAAUGAGGAUCCUUUGCCUGAAGGUUGGGAGAUCAGGUAUACAAGGGAAGGAGUUCGCUACUUUGUGGAUCACAACACCCGAACCACCACUUUCAGCGACCCCCGAACUGGAAAAUCCUCUGUCACUAAAGGCCCUCAGAUUGCUUAUGAGCGCAGCUUCAGAUGGAAGCUUGCCCACUUUCGCUACCUGUGCCAGUCCAAUGCCCUCCCUAGCCACGUGAAGAUCACCGUCUCCAGACAGACAUUGUUUGAAGAUUCUUUCCAGCAAAUUAUGGCCCUGAAGCCCUACGACUUGAGGAGGAGACUAUAUGUCAUCUUCAGAGGCGAAGAGGGUCUCGACUAUGGUGGCUUAGCCCGAGAGUGGUUCUUCUUGCUGUCCCAUGAAGUGCUGAACCCCAUGUACUGUCUGUUUGAGUAUGCCGGCAAGAGCAACUACUGCCUGCAGAUCAACCCGGCCUCAGCCAUCAACCCAGACCACCUCUCCUACUUCUGCUUCAUUGGCCGCUUCAUUGCAAUGGCACUCUUCCAUGGCAAGUUCAUCGACACCGGCUUCUCUCUGCCUUUCUAUAAACGCAUGCUGAACAAGAAGCUGAUACUCAAAGACUUGGAGUCCAUUGACCCAGAGUUCUACAACUCACUUAUAUGGAUCAGGGACAACAACAUUGAAGAGUGUGGUCUGGAGAUGUACUUCUCAGUGGACAUGGAGAUCCUGGGCAAGAUCACUUCUCACGACCUCAAACCUGAUGGCACCAAUGUUCUAGUGACUGAGGAGAACAAGGAGGAGUAUAUUGGUCUGAUGGCAGAGUGGAGGUUCUCCCGUGGGGUGGAAGGUCAGACCAAAGCUUUCCUGGACGGCUUCAACGAGGUGGUUCCACUUCAGUGGCUCCAGUACUUUGAUGAAAAGGAGCUUGAGGUGAUGCUCUGUGGCAUGCAAGAGGUAGACUUGCAGGACUGGCAGAGGAACACUGUGUACCGUCAUUACACAAGGAACAGCAAACAGAUCAUCUGGUUUUGGCAGCUGGUGAAAGAAGUGGACAACGAAGUGCGACUGCGGCUCAUGCAGUUUGUCACCGGAACCUGCAGGCUUCCUCUCGGCGGCUUCGCUGAACUCAUGGGAAGUAAUGGGCCCCAGAAGUUCUGCAUUGAGAAGGUGGGGAAGGACACAUGGCUUCCUCGGAGCCACACAUGUCUAUUACAGUUUACAGGGAUUUACACAGCUGGAGUAACACAACUGGCAGUAUGACACGAGAUAGAGACACUGAAACCCUCCCCUCUGAUGUCUAGAAGCAGAGAAAGUGCAGGAUCUCACUGAUCCCAUUAACUGACUGAGUUUCAACCGUCUGGACUUGCCUCCUUACAAGAGCUUCGAACAGCUGAAAGAGAAGCUACUCUUUGCCAUCGAGGAAACAGAAGGAUUUGGCCAAGAAUAGAGGAAGGAGUCCUCUCGUGUUUCUCCUCCUCCCCCAUCGCUGUUUAUUCAGCCAAGUAAAACAAACUAAAAAAAAAAUUGCACAAGAUAACCACCAAUGUAUAUAAGCUAUUUUGUCAUUUUAAACCAAAUCUUAAUUUGCAGCAUCAUUUUUGCCGCAAUCCCGUUCCCUAGCCCUUAUAUAGUAUAUGAUACCCCAUCAUGAAAUAUGCAAGCAUUUCAGCAUUUCUGCUUCUCUGUUUAAAAACAGAAAUCAUGGAUAUUUUUUAAAUUUCCUCCCCACUGCUGACUGGCUUUUUAAAAGACUUUAAAGUGUUUUUGAGAGGAUUUUAUAGUGGAAGCGCAAUCUUCUUUUAAGGCUCUAGUUCUAUAGAGCUUCUAAAAGGCAAGAGUAGUAUUGGGGUCUGGUGCCUGAAUUUUUUUUUCCCCCCUGUUGGACCCAUAGCAAUUGUGGCAAUUUCCACAUGCUUGCAUGGCUGCCUCUGAAGAUGAGAAGACUGCUGUGACCGGCCCCUACCACCGCACAUACACACACAGACAUUUAAGCAUGGAUGCUUUGCCUCUUUAAUGAGCUUUUUUAUUUUGUUUGGUUUUUUUUGUUUUUUUUUUACCAUUAUCAUCAUAAAGGCAAAGUGUUCAGGGUGGACUGAUCUGAAGAAGAUCUCAUGCCGUUUUUCCCUCAAACACUUUGUGGACACGAGCCCAGUGAAAGAAGCAUUAUCAGAUUCUCCCAUUUGGAUAAAGACACAUGUUAGGAUAAAGUACACUUGUGACGCUGGUGGAGAAAGGCUACUAUAUCAAAAGGAAUAAGAAGAUGUAAGGAAAAUAAUCCAAAUUGAAAUGAAAGAGAGUUGCGUGUGUGAUGGUGAUGGGGUCUGUGGCUCAUGGUUCUGAUGUUUAAGCCCAGAGACACUGGACAUGUUCUAGGCCAACUAGACUGCAGGCCACUGCUUCUGUUGGCAAAGAAGACGAGGACGACACGCUCAGUUUUCAUUUAGCGGUUGAGUUGUUUAGAAAACUGUCAAAACAGAAAAGAGACUCUGGCUCAGUGGUUCUUAUGUGCUUGGCCAAUUCUCUUUUGCCUCAUUGAAUUUUGAUCUCGGACUGCGAAACUGUCUCGAGUCAAAUGAAAAGCCACUGUGAUUUACUGAGCACCAGACAUGAUUAUGCUCAUCCGAUAACAUGAAGAUCAUAUUUGCUUUACUUAAUAAGUUAUAGGUAAGCGUAUAAAUCAAAGAACACAUAUGAUAUUUGGCCAUCUUGUUUUGUAAUACCUCAGUCACGAAUAUACUCCUUGAAAGAAGCGGUUGUUCACCUCUUACCAACCAUUAACUGAUUAAAACUGGAGCCAGUGCUGCACACAAAUCUGAGUAUAAUUACAAAACUGUCAUCAUCACGGCAGUAAUGGGCUUUUUAUAAUUACAUAUAUGAUCAUAGUGGAGAUCCAAGGCGUGCUGGACUAAAAAUUAUUAAAUUUUGUUCCUUGAAUGAGUUGAACUUGCAAGACAAGAAGAGUGGUAAAACAUUUGAGGGGCAACAUGGUCCACUUGAAAGUUGUGUCUAUGAAAUUUGAACUGGGUCAUAAACCUGUGCCUAUACAAUGUCCUUAGAAACUUAAGAAUGAUCUUCUUAUUUGGCUGUGUAGUCAACGGCGACUUAAGUAAAGCCACACAAAAUUGAAACCAUAGUGCUGAGCCCACAGAUUAUACAAUUUAAUUUAUUCUGACCAUGCUCGGUCUCAUUCUCAGGUUGUGCUGAGAUAGCCUUAGUUUAAUAAAGCUGUGUGUGUAUAAAUCAUUCAAAUUAAGGCUUUGUUUGCAGAAAACAAAGCUAGCCCGAUUCACAUUUAAAAUACUGAUUACAAGACUCCAGUAAUGAGACACUAAUGUGCCACAGACCAAAAAUAAUGUGUGGGAAAUCUACUCACAGCAGCAAGCCUGACGCAUCGCAACAUGUUCUGUGUGUGUUUUUGCACCGCUACUUUCCCCUUGUCCUUUCUGUCCUUACUUCAGGGUCACGCCCUCUGUUUUUUUUGAAAUGUCGCGUCUAACUCCAUUGUUUGUUUCUAGACGACAACUCUGGUGCUUAUUCUUUUAGUCAGUGGUCAAAACGCAGGAUAAAAACCUGGCAGUGGCAGGCCAUUUUCCUUGUUUUCUCUAGCAUUGUGUUUCUUCAGACCACUGCAAACAGCAGCAAGCUGCUUUAGACUCUAGGAGGAGCUUGUGAUUACUCAAGUUAUCAGUCAUGUAUAUAACAUAUAACAGCUGUCCCUGUGGAAGAGCUCGAAGGAGGGACGACAGUAUGAAGAAAAAACAUUUACUGUAGCAAAAGGAGCCGACUUUUAAGAGAAGUCAAAAACUGCAUAACUUUGUGCUUCCUUUUGAACAGAAACUUGUAAUCAAAGAAAAUCAACUGUGUAUGUGAAUAUUCAUUGUAUAAAGAUAAUGAAAGUAAAUAAAGUACUUAAAUAUUAUAAUUAAAUACACAGAGUUGCCGCUCCAUUGAUGGAAAUCUGUGAUGCCUUUGUUCUUAUCAGAAAUAGAUGGAACGCUUCAGGCUGCCUUCACCGUAGCAAGUAACGAGAUUGCCACCUGGACAGGUGUAUUCUUUUCAAAGCAAAACUGAUUCACGAAAUGAUGAUACUGCUUAUCAUUUCAGUACACGAUAAUGCAGCAGGGAACUUCUUACUGUGCUCACUGCGGUUUAGGCCACCUGAAACGCAUCCAAACUGUAACAUAUCGUGUGUAGAUACACUGUAAACACCAACUACACUGUACAGAAUGCCCCUUUACUGGAGACGAUGUGUAUAGAAGAUUCAUUUUUAAUCUGCUUUCACCCAUUUUAAUGAAGAGAGAUGGAUUUAUGAGAUACAAAUAAAUAAGUGAAUAAACCCCCUCCAUGGAC